CAACACAAAAUAAAAACUGAAAAAGGUUAAAACUGCCCAGGGUAAAUUAGAUGUAAACAAACAAACAAACAAAAAAUCAUAGCUUAGUAAUAGUGAAAGCUGCAAAAUUUAACCCUGGGAAGUUAGACUUGUAGAAAACAAACUAUAAAUAACUAGUAUUUCAUGUAUUUUAUCAUAUGUACAGUUUACCUUUAAAAAAAAAAAAGCAGAAAAAAGAAACUGCAUACCAUAGAAUUUGUUGACUUUUUUUUUUGGUAAAUAUGACUUUUUUAUUAGCAAAAUCCAUGACCAGGCAAGAUGAUAUUCUGCUGUUUUUCAGCUAUUCCUUUUCUGUUGGGUUCUUGGUAUCCCUA
rnacentral:lncRNA from 1 species